rnacentral:rRNA from 1 species
CCACGUAGGAGGCAAGCGUUAUCCGGAUUUACUGGGCGUAAAGCGCGUGCAGGCGGUCUGGUAAGUUGGAUGUGAAAGCUCCCGGCUCAACUGGGAGAGGUCGUUCAAAACUGCCGGACUAGAGGACGGUAGAGGGAGGUGGAAUUCCCGGUGUAGUGGUGAAAUGCGUAGAUAUCCGGAGGAACACCAGUGGCGAAGGCGGCCACCUGGGCCGUUCCUGACGCUAAGACGCGAAAGCGUGGGGAGCGAACGGGAUUAGAAACCCUAGUAGUCC